GAUGAACGCUGGCGGCGUGCCUAAUACAUGCAAGUCGAGCGAACAGACGAGUAGCUUGCUCCUCUGACGUUAGCGGCGGACGGGUGAGUAACACGUGGAUAACCUACCUAUAAGACUGGGAUAACUUCGGGAAACCGGAGCUAAUACCGGAUAAUAUAUUGAACCGCAUGGUUCAAUAGUGAAAGACGGUUUUGCUGUCACUUAUAGAUGGAUCCGCGCCGCAUUAGCUAGUUGGUAAGGUAACGGCUUACCAAGGCGACGAUGCGUAGCCGACCUGAGAGGGUGAUCGGCCACACUGGAACUGAGACACGGUCCAGACGCCUACGGGAGGCAGCAGUAGGGAAUCUUCCGCAAUGGGCGAAAGCCUGACGGAGCAACGCCGCGUGAGUGAUGAAGGUCUUCGGAUCGUAAAACUCUGUUAUUAGGGAAGAACAAAUGUGUAAGUAACUAUGCACGUCUUGACGGUACCUAAUCAGAAAGCCACGGCUAACUACGU
rnacentral:rRNA from 1 species